rnacentral:rRNA from 1 species
GGGGGAGGGGGGGGGGGGGGGGGAGGCGGGCGGGUGGAGGGAAGAGACGAGGAGCUUGCUGCUCUGACGUGAGCGGCGGACGUGUGAGUAACACGUUGAUAACCUGCCUGUAAUACUUGGAGAACUUCGGGAAACCGGAGAUAAUACAGUGGAAUAUAUUGUACCGCAUGGUUUACUACUGAAACACAGUUUUGCUUUUACUGUUGUAUGGAUCCGCGCCCCAUUAGCUCUUUGGGAAGGUAAAGGCUUCCCCAGGCAACGUUGCGUAGCCGACCUGAGACGGUGAUAGGCCACACUGGAACUGAGACACGGUCCAGACUUCUACGGGAGGCAGCAGUAGGGAAUCUUCCGCAAUGAGCGAAAGCCUGACGGAGCAACGCCGCGUGAGUGAUGAAGGUCUUCGGAUCGUAAAACUCUGUUAUUAGGGAAGAACAAAUGUGUAAGUAACUAUGCACGUCUUGACGGUACCUAAUCAGAAAGCCACGGCUAACUACGUG